rnacentral:tRNA from 1 species
GUUAAAAUGGCUGAGUUAGGCGAUAAAUUGUAAAUUUAUUUACGGGGCAAUUAGCCUCUUUUAACA